AGUUAAGCUCAAGUUAGGCUCAACUUUGAGGUGGUUUUAAAAGACCGAAAGUAUCUUGCUGUUUAGGCUGGACUUGAGGCAAGGGUAAAGAUAUAAAUAAGUAAAAGUGGGACCGAGCUGAAGCAGAACCUUGUCUGGAUGAUGUACAUAUGGCUACUUUGACCUGGGGAUGGCCUAUCUAUAUGUUUUGUUAUAUGUUACCUAGUAAUGACACGUUUUAUAAUACGUUUUAAGUAUGGUUUGUAUUAAAGAAUGAAAGUAGACUUUAUAUGUGUGUAAUAUGGUUUUGUUGGGAAAA